UGAACGCUGGCGGCGUGCCUAACACAUGCAAGUCGAACGAGAACGGGUUUAGUUUACUAAACUGUCAGCUAAGUGGCGCACGGGUGAGUAAUAUAUAGUUAACCUGCCCCAAAGAAGAGAAUAAUUGUUGGAAACGACUUGUAAUGCUCUAUAUGCCUCUAUAACAUAAGUUAGCGAGGGAAACAUUUAUGGCUUUGGGAUGGGACUGUACGGUAUCAGUUAGUUGGUGAGGUAAUGGCUCACCAAGACAAUGACGCCUAACUGGUUUGAGAGGAUGAUCAGUCACACUGGAACUGAGACACGGUCCAGACUCCUACGGGAGGCAGCAGUGGGGAAUAUUGCACAAUGGAGGAAACUCUGAUGCAGCAACGCCGCGUGGAGGAUGACACAUUUCGGUGCGUAAACUCCUUUUAUAUGAGAAGAUAAUGACGGUAUCAUAUGAAUAAGCACCGGCUAACUCC
rnacentral:rRNA from 1 species